rnacentral:rRNA from 1 species
GACGAACGCUGGCGGCGUGCUUAACACAUGCAAGUCGAACGAUGAAGCCUUUCGGGGUGGAUUAGUGGCGAACGGGUGAGUAACACGUGAGUAACCUGCCCCUUUCUCUGGGAUAACUGUGGGAAACUGCAGCUAAUACCGGAUAUUCACUUGUCCAGGCAUCUGGGUGGGUGGAAAGUUUUUUCGGUGGGGGAUGGGCUCGCGGCCUAUCAGCUUGUUGGUGGGGUAGUGGCCUACCAAGGCUUUGACGGGUAGCCGGCCUGAGAGGGCGACCGGCCACACUGGGACUGAGAUACGGCCCAGACUCCUACGGGAGGCAGCAGUGGGGAAUAUUGCACAAUGGGCGGAAGCCUGAUGCAGCAACGCCGCGUGCGGGAUGAAGGCCUUCGGGUUGUAAACCGCUUUCACCGCCGACGAAUGUAGACGGUAGGCGGAGAAGAAGCACCGGCUAACUACGUG